rnacentral:rRNA from 1 species
UACAGAGGGUGCGAGCGUUGUCCGGAAUCACUGGGCGUAAAGGGCGCGUAGGUGGUUGGGUAAGCGUGUGGUGAAAGCCCGGGGCUCAACCCCGGGUCGGCCAUGCGAACUGCCCGACUGGAGCACGGUAGAGGCCAAUGGAAUUCCGGGUGUAGCGGUGGAAUGCGUAGAGAUCCGGAAGAACACCGGUGGCGAAGGCGGGUCUCUGGGCCUGUUCUGGACGCUGAGGCGCGAAAGCUAGGGGAGCGAACAGG